UGCGGGGGGAGCAAGCGUUGUUCGGAUUUACUGGGCGUAAAGGGCGCGUAGGCGGCCACCGCAAGUCGACUGUGAAAUCUCCGGGCUUAACUCGGAAAGGUCAGCCGAUACUGCGGGGCUAGAGUGCAGAAGGGGCAACUGGAAUUCUCGGUGUAGCGGUGAAAUGCGUAGAUAUCGAGAGGAACACCUGCGGCGAAGGCGGGUUGCUGGGCUGACACUGACGCUGAGGCGCGAAAGCUAGGGGAGCGAACGGG
rnacentral:rRNA from 1 species